UCCCUAUUUUUUGCCAACUUGAGGGAUAGGCUCGCAGCCCUUGGGUCUGCGUUAAUGAGGUUCGACGGUUGAGAUUAAAUUAAGAUUUUGACCCCUUUCUCAGACCGGCAACCCGAAAACUGAAUCGGGUCAGUCAGUUUCUCUAUCUUCUCAUUCUUUCUGGCGAAUAACAGCGCUCGAACAACACUCGAGAGUUCUCCCAAUUCGCACCUCAUCACCAUAUAUUUCUUCAAAUUCUACAGAAAUCAGCUUGCGGUGGCUCUCCACCUAAAACAAAAACUUCUUACAUGGCUUGUGGGGACUCCUGUUCAGGUUUUUGCCCUUGAAAUUUUUCUUCUUCUAUAUUUAGUUUCACAGAUCGAUCUACAUAUGCUUGGAUUUCUGUAUAAUCAAUUCUAUCUGGGUUGGAUCAUUGGAAUCCAAAUUGGAAGCCGAAUUGGUGAUCUAUAUAUAUGUUUGGAUUUGUGUAUAAUCAAUAUAGUCUUCCUACCACAUGUCACUCUUGAUUGACUCAAUCUAGUAAAACAAAUGUAUAUAAUUAAUAUAGUUUUGUAUUUUCUAAAUUAGUAGUCUGAUUAUGUGCAGCCUCCUCCCCCUCCCACAAGUCAUCAAUUUCCUGGGAAGUUUAUUGUUGAUGCACUAUCACUGAAUUUUGUUUUGUCAAUUUCUAUAUAUAUUCGAGUUUAUAGGCUUUCUUUGGGAUACACAACUUAGUCAUAACCUGCAGGGACAAGUUCUCUACCUUACUUUGCUUCUGAAGAAUUUCAUUGUGGAUUUGUGUCGAAUACAUCCUUACUUUUGUAUAGUCAUUAUAUUAGACAUAGUUUUGUUUUCUGGGUUUCUAUGUGUUUGAAAACUGAUAACUCUUCAUCUAUUCUAAUUUCUAAGUAUUUUCAUGAGAUAUCAAAUACGCAGGUGAAGAAAGUAAGAAGAUGUAUCAAAGUAUUUGUAAAAUUGUCUGGGAGUUUGCAGUAGACAAUUUGGAGUUGCAUCGGAGUUGCUAGAAGUCCAUAUCUGAAAUCAUUAAGUAGUACAAUUCAUGUUUCUUUAUUGUGCAAUUUUACUCUCUAGUUGGCUACUGAUGCUCAUUGAUACAUGUGUUGAUUGAACCCGAUUCUAAAGUCAUUGUCACUUUGAUUGAUUAUGGUAUAUGGCUGCUCUGCAGCCUUUAAAGUCUAUGAUAAAAAAUUGUCACCCUUCCAAAGCUGUGAAAUCAAGCAACAAGGUUGCUAAUGUGU